rnacentral:rRNA from 1 species
UACGUAGGGGGCUAGCGUUGUCCGGAUUUAUUGGGCGUAAAGAGCGUGUAGGCGGCCAUGUAGGUCCGGUGUGAAAACUCGAGGCUUAACCUCGAGAUGUCAUCGGAAACCAUUUGGCUAGAGUCCGGAAGAGGAGAGUGGAAUUCCUGGUGUAGCGGUGAAAUGCGCAGAUAUCAGGAGGAACACCGGUGGCGAAGGCGGAUCUCUGGGCCUUACCUGACGCUGAGGCGCGAAAGCGUGGGGAGCGAACAGG